rnacentral:tRNA from 1 species
CUYAAUMGCCUCACGCUAUCUAUCGGAUCGUUUUAGAAACAUUCAGGGGCCAACAGUUUCAGGAUUGUUGAKYUCCAUUGGCGGGAUUUCGCCGUCUUCGUUUCUCUUUCUUCGCGGACRAACACGCGCCAGGGGCUGAGCGCUGUGCGGUGCACCGACUAAGCGUCGCGUGCGCGCCGGCAUGUCUCUCGUGUUAGGGGCUUGUAGCUCAGUUGGUUAGAGCGCGCGCUUGAUAAGCGUGAGGUCGGAAGUUCAAGUCUUCCCAGGCCCACCAUUUUGAUCGAGUGCGGAGCAUUCGUCUUCUGGUACGGGGCCAUAGCUCAGCUGGGAGAGCGCGUGCUUUGCAAGCAUGAGGUCGUCGGUUCGAUCCCGUCUGGCUCCACCAGAUGGUUUGAUCACCAACGGCGUUACCGUCGUCCGCRAAACAUCACUUCGCACUCAUUGGUCCGGAUGGACGGUGACGUGCGUGUUUUCUGACAUCGUAAAGAGGAGAUCRAUCCGAGUUUGGAUCAAGCGAAGCAAGUCGCCUGAACCKUUUAUGAUCUCCSGGAUCAC